GGGGGUUAGUCUUAACCAGUUAUGACCAAGAUUGUAGCUGUCUCCCUUGUCUUUUUAUUUAUCGACACGUUUGGUAAACUUAUGUUUAUUAAAUAACAUUCUCAGUUUUGAUCAAUCAUGGAAAUUUAAAUAUUCACGAGGUUAUGCAAUAAGCAAGGUUAACAACAACUUGAUGACCGACGGGGGUAACUAAAGCGGAUGUAUCCGUCAUUUGUACAGUGACGAAGUGCAUUAGUAAUAAAUUUUUUUCUUCUUUUUCAUUGUGCCUUUUUUUAUAUUCGCGGUUAAUUCGCCCAUCAUAUAGUCUGGUUUUGAUUUUGAUUUCCACCAAGUAUGUAAUUAGUGUGAAGGUGUUGGUUCUCAAGGGGUGGUGGCAACUCAAGAU